rnacentral:rRNA from 1 species
GUUUCGGCGGCCAUAGCGAGAGGGAAACGCCCGGUCACAUUCCGAACCCGGAAGCUAAGACUCUCUGCGCCGAUGGUACUGCAAGGGGGACCUUGUGGGAGAGUAGGACACCGCCGGACUC